rnacentral:lncRNA from 1 species
CCUCCAUAUUAGGGACUAAGCUUCCCCUUCUUACCAAAUCUCAUUACACCCUUCAUGGGUAAGAUUUUCAAGUAAACGCAAUCGUUAACAUCAAACUCUAGAUCCCUUCUUCUCACAUCGGCAUAGGACUUUUGUCGACUUUGAGCCGUUUUCAACUUUUCCCUUAUAAGCCGAACUUUAUCCAUUGAUUCUUGUACCAAUUAG